rnacentral:rRNA from 1 species
CCGUGAGGGAAAGGUGAAAAGAACCCCGGGAGGGGAGUGAAAUAGAACCUGAAACCCUGCACUUACAAGCUGUGGAAGCACAUUUCUUGUGUGACCGCGUACUUUUUGUAGAACGGGCCAACGAGUUUGGAAAGAUCCACCACAGAAGGUAAUAGUCCUGUAUGUCAAACGAGAAAACUUCAGAUAUGAUCCAGAGUACCACGGGACACGUGAAACCCUGUGGGAAGCAGGAGGGACCACCCUCCAAGGCU